UUCCUACGGGAGGCUGCAGUGGGGAAUCUUGCACAAUGGGGGAAACCCUGAUGCAGCGACGCCGCGUGAGCGAUGAAGCCCUUCGGGGUGUAAAGCUCUUUCGACGGGAACGAUUAUGACGGUACCCGGAGAAGAAGCUGCGGCUAACUACGUGCCAGCAGCCGCGGUAAUAAGUAUGCAGCAAGCGUUGUUCGGAGUUACUGUGCGUAAAGAGUACGUAGGCGGUUUGCUAAGUCUGGUGUGAAAUCUCCUGGCUUAACUGGGAGGGUGCGCUAGAUACUGGCAGGCUUGAGUAGGGGAGAGGAGAGUGGAAUUCCUGGUGUAGCGGUGAAAUGCUUAGAUAUCAGGAGGAACGCCGGUGGUGUAGACGGCUCUCUGGACCAUUACUGACGCUGAGGUACGAAAGCGUGGGUAGCAAACAGGAUUAGAUACCCUUGUAGUCGGC
rnacentral:rRNA from 1 species